rnacentral:tRNA from 1 species
GCCCGGAUGGCGAAAUAGGUAGACGCAAGGGACUUAAAAUCCCUCGGCCACAAGCCGUGCCGGUUCGAACCCGGCUCCGGGUACCA